CGCAUCCAGCGCCCCGCCGCCACCCCUCGCGGUGAUCUAUGUGGGCGACGUCCACGGCUACAUCACGAAGCUGGAGAGCCUCUGUUCCAACCUCUAGGCCGCACUCCCCGCCGACGCCUUGGCCACCGCGCUGGUCAUCUUCCUCGGCGACUACAACGACCGCGGCCCGCACACCCGCAGGGUUCUCAACUUUCUCCUCGCGCUCCCGACGCGCUACCCAGCGCAGCGCCAUGUCUUCCUCUGCGGCAACCACGACCUCGCCUUCGUGGCGUUCGUUGGGGCGCUGCCGCUGCCGCCCAACGGCUCCCUGUUCUUUGGCCACCUGCGCAGCGCCAUCUCUCUGUCCUCCCUCUCUCGCUCAUCCUCCCCCACCGCCCUGCUUAUUUACGCCCAUUUCUUAAGAGAGGAUUUGAUAGCCUGUCAGAAUAAAAGAGCUCGAGGAAAUUGCGGCGGCCGGAAAUUCUGGUCAUGGUGCCACACAAACACGAUAAUCUGCUUCAUCCUCGACGGAAUUGCCGUCGGGGUCGGGCGAUUCUUCGGAGGACAAGCGCCUCUGUUUCGUUGAGCUAGCUAGGUCCAUGGGGAUUAGUCAGGACACUCAUGAGUCGAUGGCAACAGAUGCAGCCAAUUACCUUUGCCACCAGCUUCAGCAUCUUCUUGGGCCUAUCUCUUCUGCGACGAGCCAAAGUGGCCCCUGGGAGGAGAGGUCGGCGAUGGUUAGGUUGACUCAGAAGCUGCAGAAAUCUAAGAGAAAUAAGCGGUGGCGGCAGAGGAGAAGGAAGCAUGUUGAAGAGCUUUUUCAGAAGGAGCGUGCGGAUUAUGAUAGAGUUGACCAGGAAGCUGAUGAAUGGAGGGCUAAGCAAAUAGCCAAGGACAUUGCAAAACAGAGGGUGGAAAGCAUGCAGCAGAUUGCUAGAAAGAAAACAAAUGUGGAAAGAAAGCGCCUAGAAUCUGAGCUGGAGCUUGCCCUAAUGGUCGAGAAACUUCAGGAGCUUCGGUCUAUAAGAGUUCAAAAAAUGAAGAAACAAGAUCCAUACUUGAACACAGAUGCAAGUACAAUGUCCCCCUUUGAGCAUGGUGAGGUGUCUGUUCUUGAUAACGGUGGAUAGGUACAGCUCCCUAAUACUUCCAUUUAAUACACAUUUUAAAAUUUGCAGCCUCGAUGGUAUCUACCUAGCAUGUGGUAUUUGUAGGUUGACUUGGAUUUAGAGAAUUAUGAGUGUUUCAUAGAUGUUACUCUGACGAGGGAUAACAAUAUUACCACUAGAAAUAUAUACUAGUCUGUCAUUGAGAAGGAGAGAAGGGGUGAUUAUAUUGGAAAGACUUUAUAGACACAUUCAGUGAAGAUUUGUUCUCAGGUUGAUCUGUGCAAUUUUGAUGGCACUCAUGGUGUCAAGUGAGGACUGGUUGAUCUGUGCAAUCACUGGACAGCGUUGAAUGUACACAAAUGACAAAUUUGACAUGCUCAUAUUGGGUCCAGUGUCCCAGUGGGUCAAGGCUAUGAUUUGACUGAAACUUGUGCUGGAGCAGCUUUCACUGAAUGGGAUGACACCACUUCCUUGCUGCUAUGUGAAGCUUGUUUCAUGGGAAGAAGGUGGUUACAAGAUUUCUGAUUAUCCGAUGCUGAGAGGAGAGGUAGUGGUUGGCGGACACAGUACAACAAAAGGCUAUAGGACUAACUGUAUUGUAUGUGAUAUUCUGUGAACUUAUAUAUUUGGACUUGUGUGAAUUUGUGAUAUGAACAUAUAUCAAUGUGUUUG